rnacentral:rRNA from 1 species
UGGGGAAUAUUGGACAAUGGGGGGCAACCCUGAUCCAGCAAUGCCGCGUGUGUGAAGAAGGUCUUCGGAUUGUAAAGCACUUUCGACGGGGACGAUGAUGACGGUACCCGUAGAAGAAGCCCCGGCUAACUUCGUGCCAGCAGCCGCGGUAAUACGAAGGGGGCUAGCGUUGCUCGGAAUGACUGGGCGUAAAGGGCGUGUAGGCGGUUUACACAGUCAGAUGUGAAAUCCCCGGGCUUAACCUGGGAGCUGCAUUUGAUACGUGUAGACUAGAGUGUGAGAGAGGGUUGUGGAAUUCCCAGUGUAGAGGUGAAAUUCGUAGAUAUUGGGAAGAACACCGGUGGCGAAGGCGGCAACCUGGCUCAUGACUGACGCUGAGGCGCGAAAGCGUGGGGAGCAAACAGGAUUAGAUACCCUGGUAGUCCACGCUGUAAACGAUGUGUGCUAGAUGUUGGGUACUUU